GGGUCCAUAGCUCAGUGGUAGAGCAUCCGGCUGCAGUCCGGCAGGUCCCCGGUUCAAUCCCGGGUGGGCCCU